rnacentral:rRNA from 1 species
GGAGUCUAGCAUGUACGCAAGUCAUUGGGACUUGAUAAACCUAAAGGCGAAAUGAAAGUAAAUGCGCGCCUUGUGCACGCACAGGGAAGAUGAGUGACGCACGUCGUCGCUCCGCAUUCCCGGGGCGUCUCAUUCUCAUUGCGAGAAGAGGCGCACCUAGAGCGUACACGCUGGGACCCGAAAGAUGGUGAACUAUGCCUGGUCAGGACGAAGUCAGGGGAAACCCUGAUGGAGGUCCGUAGCGAUUCUGACGUGCAAAUCGAUCGUCGGAACUGGGUAUAGGGGCGAAAGACUAAUCGAACCAUCUAGUAGCUGGUUCCCUCCGAAGUUUCCCUCAGGAUAGCUGGCGCUCGCUUUGCGAGUCUCAUCCGGUAAAGCGAAUGAUUAGAGGCAUUGGGGUCGAAACGGCCUCAACCUAUUCUCAAACUUUAAAUGGGUGAGAUCUCCGGCUUGCUUAAAUAGUGAAGCCGCGAGAUCGGAUCAGAGUGCCAAGUGGGCCAUUUUUGGUAAGCAGAACUGGCGCUGUGGGAUGAACCAAACGCAGAGUUAAAGCGCCUAAAUCGACGCUUAUGGGAUACCAUGAAAGGCGUUGGUAACUUAAGACAGCAGGACGGUGGCCAUGGAA